GACAGGGGUCUCAAGCGUUAAUCGGAAUCACUGGGCUUAAAGGGUGCGUAGGCGGGCCUGUAAGUGUCCUGUGAAAUCCCCCGGCUCAACCGGGGAACUGCGGGGCAUACUGCGGGUCUUGAGGAAGGUAGGCGCCGAGGGAACAGUAGGUGGAGCGGUGAAAUGCGUAGAUAUCUACUGGAACGCCGAUGGUGAAGACGCUCGGCUGGGCCUUUCCUGACGCUGAGGCACGAAAGCGUGGGGAUCGAACAGG
rnacentral:rRNA from 1 species